rnacentral:rRNA from 1 species
UGAAAAGCACUUCGAACAGAAGAGUGAAAUAGUCCCUGAACCCAUACGCCUACAAGCAGUCGGAGCCGCUUCGUGCGGUGACGGCGUGCCUUUUGCAUAAUGAGCCUACGAGUUACUCAUCACCAGCGAGGUUAAGUACUUCAGGUACGUAAGCCGAAGCGAAAGCGAGUCUGAAUAGGGCGUCAAGUUGGUGGUGGUAGACGCGAAACCUUAGUGAUCUACCCAUGGGCAGGGUGAAGGUUUGGUAACACAAACUGGAGGCCCGAACCGGUAAACGUUGAAAAGUUUUCGGAUGACCUGUGGGUAGGGGUGAAAGGCCAAUCAAACUGGGAAAUAGCUCGUACUCUCCGAAAUGCAUUUAGGUGCAGCCUCUGUUGUUUUGUUCUAGAGGUAGAGCUACUGAUUGGAUGCGAGGGCUUCACCGCCUAUCAAAUCCGGCCAAACUCCGAAUGCUAGAACAUGAAGACAGGGAGUGAGCCAGCGGGUGCUAAGGUCCGUUGACGAAAGAGGGAGAACUCAGACCAUCAGCUAAGGUCCCCAAUUGUAUGCUAAGUUGGAAUUAAAACGGGGUGGGACUGCUUAGACAGCUAGGAUGUUGGCUUGGAAGCAGCCAUUCAUUUAAAGAGUGCGUAACAGCUCACUAGUCGAGCGGUCCUGCAUGGAUAAUACGCGGGCAUAAGCAUAUAACCGAAGCUAUGGGAUUGUAGAUGAUACAAUCGGUAGGAGAGCAUUCCAUUCAGCAUAGAAGCAGUACCGUGAGGUAUUGUGGAGCGGAUGGAAAAGCAAAUGUAGGCAUAAGUAACGAUAAUGCGGGUGAGAACCCCGCACGCCGAAAGAUCAAGGAUUCCCCGGCAAUGUCAAUCAUCCGGGGGUAAGUCGGAUCCUAAGGGUAAGCCGAGUGGCGAUCCCGAUGGCAAACAGGUUAAUAUUCCUGUACUGAUCAUAACUGCGAUGCAGCGACGCAGAGGUGACACUGCUGCGUACUGACGGAAUAGUACGUUGAAACCCGUAUUCUUUGAUACCGGUAGUGAAGCACGCCGGUAGAGAUGAAAGGUGAUAGUACCGCAAUGCUUCGGUUGCGCGGAUAACGCAGGUAAGCUGACUGCCAAGAAAACCUGCUAAGCUUCAGGUAAUGAUCAUCCGUACUGUAAACGGACACACGUGAUCAGGUAGAAAAUACUAAGGCGCUCGAGAGAUUCAUGGUUAAGGAACUAGGCAAAAUGGUCCUGUAACUUCGGGAUAAAGGACGCUCUUGUGAAAGAGCCGCAGAUAAUAGGCCCAGGCGACUGUUUACCAAAAACACAUGGCUAUGCUAAUUCGCAAGAAGAUGUAUAUGGCCUGACACCUGCCCGGUGCCGGAAGGUUAAGAGGAGAGCUCAGAGGCAACUCGAAGGUUUGAAUUGAAGCCCCGGUAAACGGCGGCCGUAACUAUAACGGUCCUAAGGUAGCGAAAUUCCUUGUCGGGUAAGUUCCGACCUGCACGAAUGGUGUAACGAUCUGGGUACUGUCUCAACCAUGAGCUCGGUGAAAUUGUAGUUCCGGUGAAGAUGCCGGAUACCCGCAACGGGACGGAAAGACCCCGUGAACCUUUACUGCAGCUUUGCAUUGAUUUUGGGUAACAGAUGUGUAGGAUAGGUCGGAGGCUUUGAUGCUGCGUCGUCAGGCGUAGAGUAGCCGUCGUUGAAAUACGACCCUUUUGUUAUCUGAGGUCUAAUCCCGUUAGGGAGACAUUGCAUGGUGGGUAGUUUGACUGGGGUGGUCGCCUCCAAAAGUGUAACGGAGGCUUCUCAAGGUACCCUCAAGGCGUUUGGUAAUCGUCUGCAGAGUGCAAUGGCAUAAGGGUGCUUGACUGUGAGACCGACACGUCGAUCAGGUUGGAAACAAGAGCAUAGUGAUCCGGUGGUUCCGCAUGGAAGGGCCAUCG